AAAGUGAAGGCGACACCGUAGUAGGUAUACUCGUGGGAGUCGUGUUUCCUGUUCUCGGCAUUAGUCCUUAUUGCCGCGUUUUUUUUUCCGAAUUUCGCGCUUGAA
ensembl:ncRNA T24D5.8 ncRNA